rnacentral:rRNA from 1 species
AGUUGCGAACGGCUGAGUAAUGGAUAGGAAUCUCCCCAAUGGUGUGGAAUACCUCAUCGAAAGAUGAGCUAAUACCGCAUGACCUCGCAAGAGAAAAGCGCUUAACUGCGCGCCGAUGGAUGAGCCUAUCUCCCAUCAGGCUGUUGGUAGGGUAAUGGCCUACCAAACCUAUGACGGGUACCCGCCCUGAGAGGGGAAACGGGCAGAAUGGGACUGAGACACGGCCCAUACACCUACGGGUGGCAGCAACAGGGAAUCGUACGCAAUGGACGAAAGUCUGACGUCGCAAUGCCGCGUGGAGGAUGAAGGCCUUCGGGUCGUAAACUUCUUUUAUAGUAAUAGAGAUGUUAUUAAGAAUAAGUGACUGCUAACUCUGUGCCAGCAGCAGCGGUAAUACAGAGGUCACAAGCGUUAUCCGGAUUUAUUGGGCGUAAAGCGUUUCGUAGGCGGCCCUGAAAGUUAUUUUUCAAAGACCACGGCUUAACCGAGGGAAGGGAGGUAAUACUACAGAGCUUGAAAUAUGGUGGGGCUUCUGGAACUGAUGGUGUAGUAGUGAAAUACGUUGAUAUCAUCAGGAACUCCAAGGGCGAAGGCAGGAAGCUAACCAUUUUUUGACGCUGAGGAACGACAGCUAGGGGAGCGAAAGGGAUUAGAGACCCCUGUAGUCCUAGCCGUAAACUAUGCUCGCUAGGGGUAGGACUCGCUAAGGUUAUAUCCUUUGUGAGAUUUUCCAUUUUCUGACUUUCCAUUUUCCAUUAAAUUUUCAAUUGAUCAAUUUUUCAAUUGUUAAAUAAAAUGGCAGAUGGUAAAUAAUGAAAUGGACGAUCUCGCAAAAAUGUAAUUUUUGCGAGCUCUGCCCCGUAAGCUAACGCGUUAAGCGAGCCGCCUGGGGAGUACGGCCGCAAGGCUAAAACUCAAAGGAAUUGACGGGGACCCGCACAACCAGUGGAGCAUGUGGUUUAAUUCGAGACAAAACGAAGAACCUUACCCAGUUUUGACAUACUACCGUACAUGAACCCAGAAAUGGGAUCAAAUCUAAAUUUAUUUGGAUGGUAGAACAGGUGUUGCAUGGCCGUCGUCAGCUCGUGCCGUAGGGUGUUCCCUUCAGUGGGGUAACGAGCGCAACCCUCGCCCUGAGUUAAAUAUUCUCAGGGGACUUUCUGAAUUUAUUUCAGGAGGAAGUGAGGACGACGUCAGGUCAGCAUGGCCCUUAUGACUGGGGCUACACACAUGCUACAAUGGAGCCGACAGAGGGUAGCCAAGCCGUAAGGCGGAGCUAACCCCAUCAAACGGCUUCUCAGUUGGGAUUGAGGGCUGCAAUUCGCCCUCAUGAACGCGGAAUUGGUAGUAAUCGCGCAUCAGCUAUGGCGCGGUGAAUACGUUCUCGGGUCUUGUACACAGAAUAAAUGCGCGCCAAGCAGCUUUCUAGACAAAGUGGUUUGAAUCCACUCCAUGUUCAUAUAGAAAUGAAUAUCGGUAGCCAAAAAAAAUUGACAGGGACAAUACUGGUAACAGAUGUCCCGGAGGGUCUGAGGCAAAAGACAGCCCAAAAUUAAACAGAUGUUCGACCUCCCGGUGUGUCCGAGGGAAGAACUUAAAAAAAUCUGUUUGGGAUGCCUGGAAUUGUUUAUUAAGUGACCUUGGGAGAUCCUAGCAAGAAUGAAGUAAUCGCUUGUUAGGAAGUCAGCUAUUUCCAUAGUAACGCUUGCAAAAUAGAUGUAUAAUCUAUUGACGCAGCGUGAAGGGAGUAACCUAGAAUGAUUACUGCAGAUUAUAUUGUAGGAUUAACCGAUGGAGAAGGGUGUUUUUAUGUUAAUGUUAGACCUCCGGAUAAAAGAUAUCGGGGAUCAAAAAUAGGCAUAGAAACUCACUUUUACAUCAAACUGAGAGAAGACGAUGUUUCACUUCUAAGAGAAAUUAGAAAUUAUUUUAGAUGUGGGGCCGUUUAUUAUCAGAAGGAAAAAAGGAAAAAUCAUUCAGCAUGUUAUCGAUUUGGGAUUAGUUCUCAAAAAGAUAUUCACGAAGUUUUGAUUCCAUUUUUCGAUAAAUACCGACUUAGGAGCGAGAAGAGGAAGAAUUAUAUUCUUUUUCGAAAAGUUGCGAAGUUGGUGAAAGAAGGCCUUCACAGAAAUAAUGAAGGUUUAAAAGAAAUCCUAUUUUUGAAAUCGCAGAUGAAUUCUGGGGCUCGCUCGGUGCGGGAAAUCCGCUCGCCGAGUGGGAACGCGAAGUAACUUCAAAGCUAUCGCAAUCCGCCCGUCAAGUGAGUGAAGUUGGAGAUACCUUAAGUCCCGUUGUACGGGACCAAGGUAGAAUCAGCGACAAGCACUAAGUCGUAAAUUUGUUGCGACUCCAGAAAGUAAUUUUUGGAGUAAAUAUUGCUAUAUCGGUGAACCCUAAGUGGUGAGUAUAAUCGAACCAUAUGGGAAUACCGAGGGAACCCUUCGACGGGGCUCAGGGCUAUAGCCACGAGCGAGGUCGAGUGGGACUCCGUAGAGACUACACGCAAUCGCCACAAAUUAGCAAAUGUUAUUUACUAGGAGUUUUGCAUGACGCAACCGUCAGAAAAACUACUUAUAGAAUCGCUACAAAAAGUCAUGAUUUUGCCGAUAUUUUAAAACGGGGAAUCAAGAUUUUGGGUAGAAGCGCCUGGAUUUAUAAAGAGGGAAAAAAUCGUAAUCUUUGGAUUGUCGAAUUUUCAAAAUCUUUAUUAAAGGAUGUAGAAAUUGAAUCCAGGCAGAAUAGGAUAGAUUUUAUAAGAGGAUUCUUUGACGCCGAAGGCGGCAUCGCAAAAGAACCAAAGGUCAGAUUUUAUUUAUAUUUUUGCCAAAAGGAUAAAAAAAUUCUUUCAAAAAUUAAGAAAUAUUUAUCUGAAUUUAGGAUAAAAAGUGGAGUAAUUCACAAUCCAAGUAAGAAAAUUGACCCAGAUUAUUGGAGAUUUUUUAUUCAUGCAGAGUCUUAUCGAGAUUUUGCCAGAAUAAUUAGCUCUGAUCAUCCGGAAAAAUUUGCUAUUUUGAGGAUGAAGAUAUAGUCCAUGCCCCACGAAAGUCGGGGAACAGUCAUGAACAAGGUAUCCGUACUGGAAGGUGCGGAUGGAUCACCUCCUU